rnacentral:rRNA from 1 species
GUGCCAGCCGCCGCGGUAAUACCGGCAGCCCAAGUGAUGGCCGCUGUUAUUGGGCCUAAAGCGUCCGUAGCUGGCCGCACAAGUCCGUCGGGAAAUCCGCCCGCUCAACGGGCGGCCGUCCGGCGGAACCUGUGUGGCUUGGGACCGGGAGGCCUGAGGGGUACGUCCGGGGUAGGAGCGAAAUCCCGUAAUCCCGAACGGACCACCGAUGGCGAAAGCAUCUCGAGAAAACGGAUCCGACAGUGAGGGACGAAAGCUGGGAUCUCGAACCGGAUUAGAAACCCGGGUAGUCC